UACAGAGGGUGCGAGCGUUAAUCGGAAUUACUGGGCGUAAAGGGUGCGUAGGUGGUUGCAUAAGUUAGGUGUGAAAGUCCUGGGCUUAACCUGGGGACUGCGCCUAAGACUGUGUAGCUAGAGUACUGUAGAGGGAGGUGGAAUUUCCAGUGUAGCGGUGAAAUGCGUAGAUAUUGGAAGGAACAUCGGUGGCGAAGGCGACCUCCUGGACCAUUACUGACGCUGAGGAGCGAAAGCCAGGGGAGCAAACGGG
rnacentral:rRNA from 1 species